AUAGUGAAGAAAUGAAGGGCGCACGGUGGAUGCCUUGGUACCAGGAGCCGACGAAGGACGGGACAAACACCGAAAUGCUUCGGGGAGCCGUAAGUAGGCGUUGAUCCGAAGAUGUCCGAAUGGGGGAACCCACUGUCCGUUAUGGGACAGUACCGAUCACUGAAUACAUAGGUGGUCGGAGGUAGACCCGGGGAACUGAAACAUCUCAGUACCCGGAGGAGAGGAAAGCAAAUGCGAUUUCCCGAGUAGCGGCGAGCGAAACGGAACCAGCCCAAACCAGAGAGCUUGCUCUCUGGGGUUGUAGGACACUCCAUCGGAGUUACCAAGAGGGAGGAUAGGCGAAUCGGACUGGAACGUCCAGCCAGAGCAGGUAACAGCCCUGUAGCCGACAUCCUCCCUCCUCCGGAGUGGAUCCUGAGUACGGCGAAACACGAGAAAUUUCGUCGGAAUCCGGGAGGACCAUCUCCCAAGGCUAAAUACUCCCUGGUAACCGAUAGUGAACCAGUACCGUGAGGGAAAGGUGAAAAGCACCCCGGAAGGGGAGUGAAAGAGAACCUGAAACCGUGUGCCUACAAGUAGUCGGAGCCCGUUAAUGGGUGACGGCGUACCUUUUGUAGAAUGGACCGGCGAGUUACGAUCGGCUGCAAGGUUAAGCACCGUAGGUGUGGAGCCGCAGCGAAAGCGAGUCUGAACAGGGCGUCUCGAGUAGACGGUCGUAGACCCGAAACCGUGUGAUCUACCCAUCUCCAGGGUGAAGGUCAGGUAAUACUGACUGGAGGCCCGAACCCACGUAAGUUGAAAAUUACGGGGAUGAGGGGUGGGUAGGGGUGAAAUGCCAAUCGAACACGGAGAUAGCUGGUUCUCUCCGAAAUAGCUUUAGGGCUAGCCUUCGGCCAGGAGUCCUGGAGGUAGAGCACUGAUUGGAUGAGGGGCCCCUACCGGGUUACCGAGUUCAGUCAAACUCCGAAUGCCAGCGACUCGCGUCGAGGAGUCAGACCAUGGGUGAGAAGGUUCAUGGUCAAGAGGGGAACAGCCCAGACCGUCAGCUAAGGUCCCUAAGUGUGUGUUAAGUGGAAAAGGAUGUGGCGUUGCUUAGACAACCAGGAUGUUAGCUUAGAAGCAGCUAUCAUUGAAAGAGUGCGUAAUAGCUCACUGGUCGAGUGACGCUGCGCCGAAAAUGUACCGGGGCUAAACACACCACCGAAGCUACGGAUUUGCAUCUGAUGAUGCAAGUGGUAGGAGAGCGUUCCAGGAGCUGUGAAGUCAGACCGUGAGGACUGGUGGAGCGACUGGAAGUGAGAAUGCCGGUAUAAGUAGCGAAAAAAGAGUGAGAAUCUCUUUCACCGUAAGCCUAAGGUUUCCUGAGGAAGGCUCGUCCACUCAGGGUUAGUCGGGACCUAAGCCGAGGCCGAAAGGCGUAGGCGAUGGACAACAGGUGGAGAUUCCUGUACCACCCGCCUCCGUUCGAGCGAACGGGGGGACGCAGGAGGAUAGGGAGAGCGCACCAUUGGAUGUGUGCGUCCAAGCUGUGAGCGCGUCGGAUAGGCAAAUCCGUCCGGCAAG
rnacentral:rRNA from 2 species